GAAUGUUGCGUUAAGGGAAAGGUCAUAUUCAUACCCAUCAGUCACGCGAGCGCUAAGUCAGCUACGAAUUGGCUAUCCCGACUAACGGAGGGACUGACUCCACGGAGGGUGUAAGACCCGUGUGGGCGCGUGUAAAAGCUGAUUGGGGUUGGCCUCUUUUCCCUGAGAGUCGCGUUGCUCUGGCAUGCAGCGCUAAGCAGGUCGUAAACUCGAUCUAAGGCUAAAUAUUUCCACAGGCCCGAUAGCGAACAAGUACCGUGAGGGAAAGUUGAAAAGCACUCUGAAGAGAGAGUCAAAAGACCGUGAAACCGCUCAGAGUAUAAGCCCAUGGCGCUCGGAAGGCAUACCGCAGUCCUAUAACAAGGUCGGCUUGCAUGAAGGUCUGUCAGGCAGUGGCAUUGAGUUGAUAUCACGCUGACGUGCGGGAGGGACACUGGUCGCGUAGCCGGGCUUCGGCUCGGUUUGCACGGCCAGCUACCUCAUUGAGCACGGACGUUCAAGGUUGCUUGCCGUAUGCGGAACCGCCCACCACGUCUCGUUGCGUGGUCACCCACAGGCUCGACUGUCGAUCGCGUGUUCACCUCGCUCGCAAAGUUGUGUCGUGUUCUUAUGUCUCACUCCCUCGUAUGCUAUAGGGAGUGGGACGACACUCGCGGCGUGGCUAAUGGAAUUGAACCGGACGGCGACUGAGAUAAACCUGGUAUGAUCCACUCGCGACGAGACGCUUUCUGGCCAGUUGUUGCGUGCAGGCUUCGUCUCCUUUGCCGAGCGUUGCCUUACACCAGGCGGACUGAAUCUCUGC
rnacentral:rRNA from 1 species